rnacentral:rRNA from 1 species
UUACAAUGAAGAGUUUGAUCCUGGCUCAGGAUGAACGCUAGCUACAGGCUUAACACAUGCAAGUCGAGGGGCAGCAUUCUUCUAGCAAUAGAAGAGAUGGCGACCGGCGCACGGGUGAGUAACACGUAUCCAACCUGCCGAUAACUCCGGAAUAGCCUUUCGAAAGAAAGAUUAAUACCCGAUAGCAUACGAAAACCGCAUGAUAUUACUAUUAAAGAAUUUCGGUUAUCGAUGGGGAUGCGUUCCAUUAGUUUGUUGGCGGGGUAACGGCCCACCAAGACUACGAUGGAUAGGGGUUCUGAGAGGAAGGUCCCCCACAUUGGAACUGAGACACGGUCCAAACUCCUACGGGAGGCAGCAGUGAGGAAUAUUGGUCAAUGGGCGAGAGCCUGAACCAGCCAAGUAGCGUGAAGGAUGAAGGCUCUAUGGGUCGUAAACUUCUUUUAUAUGGGAAUAAAGUUUUCCACGUGUGGAA